AUAUGGGACCGAACAUUCCCUCAGUUUCCCGAAUUUUCUCUCGUCGAAGAUAUUCAUUCAUGCUGUUUGGCGCCAAUCUUCCCGCCGUUGGUCGAUGUUUAUUAUUUACUGAGAUGAUCGCUGUAGAUAUGGACGAUAUAACUUCAGCAUAAUGCAUUGUUCUUCAGCUACUGGAGGUGUUUGGUCAAGCUGGCACACCUUGCUCGAGUGACUGGCUUAGAGAGUUGCUUGGUUUCACGUGGGUGGGCACAUCAUGUGAUGUCCCACGUUGGUUGGGGAGGAGAACAAAGCACCCUUUAUAAGGGUG